CACUGAUCUAAACAUGAAGGAGAAUGUAACCUUCAUUUUUAUUUCCCUGGGGAUGCUUUGUUGCAGUAUGCAGCUACAGAGGAGGCCGUUUCCGUAACAAGCAUGCGAAACUGAAGUGCUGCACCACUUUCAAGGAGGAGAAUUUGGGCCAAGGAUUCAGCGACGGACAUCUGAAGAACUCAGAAAAAAACAACAACCAAGGGAUGGGGAAAACAGAACAAAGGAAGAGACCGGCUCCCUUUCACAGCCACCUCCUUCUCUUACGGCUCCUCAGCAGACACGUGAGCGAGCUCCUGCGGGGUGGGUGCCACGCGCACUGAGAGCAGAGUGCUGCAGACCCGUGCUCCGAGCAGGCGGCAGACGGACAGGAGCAGCGCUGCCUGACUCCGGGCUGACCCAGGAACCCAAGAUUUUUGGCAUACUGGUCUUGACCUCUCCUUUCUGUCCUGUCAGCUGUUAUUUCCCAGUGCCCUUGGAUAGGCUGAAUUUGCUCUUCCUCGCGGCCUUUAUAUAGUUCCCCCCUCCCCAUACUUCUGUUAGGCUUUUAGAUCUUUGGGCGAAUCUUGGAACUGCGGAUUAAAAUCCCACAUCUCAGCUUUUAUGAAAAGAUUUGCCGAGGUCUGGGUGUUGCUGGCAGCCUGAUAUUCUGCACCAUUUACCGGCUGUGAAUUAUGUAGAUACUCAUAUUUUUAAUUUCCUUUCAUUUAGUUGUGUGUGCAGGACCUCUGUCAUGACCAGCAGGGAACUCUCCUGGGUACAAAGAGGCUAUUCAGCUCCUGUGCCAACCCUGGCUCGUAAAAGCCUGACAGCUCUCAACAAACAAAGCCUAGAAAUGUUGCUAUU
ensembl:lncRNA